AGCCCUGGGCUCCCCCCAGUGUUGCCUGGAUCUGACUUUGCCUCAGUGAAAACCACCUCGAAUUCUUUCUUGCACUGAUAGGCAGAUGGGCAGUGUCAGAGGAUCGUGUCAUCUGCCCUGUGG
ensembl:misc_RNA